rnacentral:rRNA from 1 species
UAAGGAAUAUUGGUCAAUGGACGCAAGUCUGAACCAGCCAUGCCGCGUGAAGGAUGAAGGUCCUCUGGAUUGUAAACUUCUUUUAUCUGGGACGAAAACGGGAUUUUUAUCUCAAUUGACGGUACCAGAGGAAUAAGCACCGGCUAACUCCGUGCCAGCAGCCGCGGUAAUACGAAGGGUGCGAGCGUUAUCCGGAUUUACUGGGUUUAAAGGGUGCGUAGGUGGGCUUAUAAGUCAGUGGUGAAAUCUCCGAGCUUAACUUGGAAACUGCCGUUGAUACUAUAGGUCUUGAAUUAUCUGGAGGUAAGCGGAAUAUGUCAUGUAGCGGUGAAAUGCUUAGAUAUGACAUAGAACACCAAUUGCGAAGGCAGCUUACUACAUAUAAAUUGACGCUGAGGCACGAAAGCGUGGGGAUCAAACA